UACGGAGGGGGCGAGCGUUGUUCGGAAUCAUUGGGCGUAAAGGGCGCGUAGGCGGCCGGACAAGUCGGAUGUGAAAUCCCUCGGCUCAACCGAGGAACUGCAUUCGAUACUGUCUGGCUCGAGUCCGGGAGGGGAUGGUGGAAUUCCCAGUGUAGCGGUGAAAUGCGUAGAUAUUGGGAAGAACACCGGUGGCGAAGGCGACCAUCUGGACCGGAACUGACGCUGAGGCGCGAAAGCCAGGGGAGCGAAUGGG
rnacentral:rRNA from 1 species